AGGAUGAACGCUGGCGGCGUGCCUAAUACAUGCAAGUCGAACGAGGUCUUCGGACCGAGUGGCGAACGGGUGAGUAACACGUUGGUACCUACCCCGAAGUGGGGAAUAACUGCCCGAAAGGGUGGCUAAUACCGCAUAAUACCGCAAGGUUAAAGCAGUAAUGCGCUUCGGGAGGGGCCUGCGUCCCAUUAGCUAGUUGGUAGGGUAAUGGCCUACCAAGGCGACGAUGGGUAGCUGGAUCGAGAGGUUGACCAGCCACACUGGGACUGAGAUACGGCCCAGACUCCUACGGGAGGCAGCAGUAAGGAAUCUUCCACAAUGGACGAAAGUCUGAUGGAGCAACGCCGCGUGCAGGAUGACGGCCUUCGGGUUGUAAACUGCUUUUAUAUGGGAAGAUUAUGACGGUACCAUAUGAAUAAGGACCGGCUAACUACGUGCCAGCAGCCGC
rnacentral:rRNA from 1 species